UACGUAGGGUGCAAGCGUUUGUCCGGAAUUAUUGGGCGUAAAGAGCUCGUAGGCGGUUUGUUGCGUCGGCCGUGAAAACCUGCAGCUUAACUGUGGGCCUGCGGCCGAUACGGGCAGACUUGAGUUCGGUAGGGGAAACUGGAAUUCCUGGUGUAGCGGUGAAAUGCGCAGAUAUCAGGAGGAACACCGGUGGCGAAGGCGGGUCUCUGGGCCGAUACUGACGCUGAGGAGCGAAAGCGUGGGGAGCGAACAGG
rnacentral:rRNA from 1 species